rnacentral:piRNA from 1 species
GGUGAUAAAUGUGGGACUUCUCAGAAGU